GGGUGCCCCACCACAAAGGAAUCCACUUCGAUAAACAUUUCUGCCAUCGAAAUGAUAAACCCACGAGGAACCAUGAUAUAAAAAAAACAAUCGCCAUCAGUAUCAAUCGAACGAUUGUACCUCGCUGAUGUAACCUCGAAGUAUUUGGAUCAUUGUGCAAUCCAAUUUCGCGUAAACUGCACACGUAGCCAACCUACUUUCGACUUGUGUGAAAACCGAAUCAUUAAAAUUCAUUGGCGAACAAAAGUUGACGAUCAGUUCGCGUGUUAAAUUGGAAAAAGCAAACUUUUGAGCACUGAGAGAGCUUGAAACGAAGUGAACGAAAAAUGUUGCUGCAAGCUGAAAGGAUAAUUUUCAUUUCAACGCCGUGAGACGUGAGAAGUAUGUAUUAGACCAGAAAGGCGUUGGGUAAUUAUCGUUUCGCGAAGAAACGGUGAAAUGCUCAUCUACAAAAAAAUAUGCAUUGAUAGACUAGAAUCUGUAAAACAUGGAUUGGAAGGCAAAAAUCUGAAAUUCCUUGGCCACCA